rnacentral:rRNA from 1 species
UUGGGAGCUCACUGAUUUUAGAGUCAGAGGAACUCCGAAGUUAAGCGAGUUUGGGCUAGAACAAUUCUAAGAUGGGUGACCCACUGAGAAGUUGCUCGUGAGUUCCCAGA